rnacentral:rRNA from 1 species
UACGUAGGGAGCAAGCGUUGUCCGGAAUUACUGGGUGUAAAGGGAGUGUAGGCGGGAUGGUAAGUUAGGUGUGAAAUCUAUGGGCUCAACCCAUAAAUUGCACUUAAAACUGCUGUUCUUGAGUGAAGUAGAGGUUAGCGGAAUUCCUAGUGUAGCGGUGAAAUGCGUAGAUAUUAGGAGGAACAUCAGUGGCGAAGGCGGCUAACUGGGCUUUUACUGACGCUGAGGCUCGAAAGCGUGGGGAGCAAACAGG